GCAACAACCUAAUCGUUUUUUGCCAUGUAUAGAAUUCUACUCGUGCAUCCAUUAUGUUUUCAGCACGUACUGCAAGCUUCUUGAUAGCGGCCAUUACUGUCUGAAUGGUAAUUAGGGUACCGUAUGUACAAUUUAUGCGUGAGUACUUGACUCAAAAGGGCAUAGCAUCCAUACGAGUUUCAAUGCUUUGUUUCAAGAGCCUUUGCAUGCUUCAAUAUGACAAAAUUACAGUUUUAGAUAAAUAAAUGUGCAGGUGUGUUGUAGAUGUUUUCGCAUGUAUUCUUAUAUUCAAUGGCGACAGAAUACGUUUUAGAAGAAAAGAGGAAAGACCCACAGGACAGAAGACUUGCAAUGGAUCCAGAC